GACGAACGCUGGCGGCGUGCUUAAUACAUGCAAGUCGAGCGAGGUUACUGUUUUGGAUCCCUUCGGGGUGAAGAAGCUUUAACCUAGCGGCGGACGGGUGAGUAACGCGUGGGUAACCUACCCAAAGUCCGGGAUAACAGCGGGAAACCGCUGCUAAUACCGGAUGCCUUUACCUUGGGGCAUCUUGAGGUAAAGAAAGGCAACGCUUUGGGAUGGGCCCGCGUCCCAUUAGCUAGUUGGUGAGGUAACGGCUCACCAAGGCGACGAUGGGUAGCCGGCCUGAGAGGGUGGACGGCCACACUGGGACUGAGACACGGCCCAGACUCCUACGGGAGGCAGCAGUAGGGAAUAUUGCGCAAUGGACGGAAGUCUGACGCAGCGACGCCGCGUGAGCGAUGAAGGUCUUCGGAUCGUAAAGCUCUGUCCUUGGGGAAGAAGGCGAAAGCUUGACGGUACCCAAGAAGAAAGCCCCGGCUAACUACGUG
rnacentral:rRNA from 1 species